rnacentral:rRNA from 1 species
AAAUUGAAGAGUUUGAUCAUGGCUCAGAUUGAACGCUGGCGGCAGGCCUAACACAUGCAAGUCGAACGGUAACAGGAAGAAGCUUGCUGAUU